CCCACAGAGAAGAGAUCGACGUGUCUUACCACCAAGGAGGUAUAAUAGUAUACUCCGCUUAAUGCUCCAAGGACCCAAGUGCUGAUGGAGAUCAAAAGGUAGCUCUCAGAGGUAAGAAAGCUUCGGACACCCUCUAUCCGAAGGAAUCCCAAUAAGUACUGUUUGUACCAUCGAGAUCAUGGUCAUAAUAUGGAGGAGUAUA
rnacentral:lncRNA from 1 species